rnacentral:snoRNA from 1 species
AGUCCAUGGUGAGGGCACGUUCUUAAGAGGUACUUGUAUCUCUCCCAUGCAUCAUAGAGUGCUUCUAGAUCCAUCUGCACAAAAGAAGAUAUAUCAUUCCUUAAUUU